UACGUAGGGGGCGAGCGUUGUCCGGAUUUAUUGGGCGUAAAGAGCUCGUAGGCGGUUCGGCAAGUCAGCUGUGAAAUCUCCACGCUCAACGUGGAGGGGUCAGCUGAUACUGCUGUGACUCGAGUCCGGUAGGGGAGUGUGGAAUUCCCGGUGUAGCGGUGAAAUGCGCAGAUAUCGGGAGGAACACCAGUAGCGAAGGCGGCACUCUGGGCCGGUACUGACGCUGAGGAGCGAAAGCGUGGGGAGCAAACAGG
rnacentral:rRNA from 1 species